GGAUGUGAGGGCGAUCUGGCUGCGACAUCUGUCACCCCAUUGAUCGCCAGGGUGAUUCGGCUGAUCUGGCUGGCUAGGCGGGUGUCCCCUUCCUCCCUCACCACUCCAUGUGCAUCCCUCCCGAAGCUGCGUGCUCGGUGGAAGAGGACGACGUCCCAGGUAUAGAAGGAGUGUACCGAGGUCUCCAGUCUUCGGUCCCGGGUAUACGAUAGCUGCGCUCCCCUGCUAGAACCUCCAAACAAGCUCAAGGUCCAUUUGUAGGAAAUACUUACCCUUUUUAAAACAUCUACCUAUAAUUAAUCAUAACUGUAAAUUAAAUU
rnacentral:snRNA from 1 species